CUCCCCCACCUUCUUCCCUAAAAAAAAACUCCCACACCUUCAUCCCUAUCGGCAGGAAGCCAGGAACCUGGCCGCCCAUCCCCAACUCCCGCCGAACCUUCUUCCCCUGCGGCCGCGCCGAAUCCCCGCCCGACCUUCUUCCCGGCGGCGGCGCCGAAUCCCGCCUGACCUUCUUCCCGGCGGCAGGCUGCACGGCCCCAAUCCACCGCCGGAGCGCGAUUGACUUCAGCGCACGGGAGCAGAGCCAGCCACGCCGCCGCACGACUGCAGCUGCCGAACAUGGCGAGGGCUCCGCCGCUGCUCCGGCGGCUCCUCCUGGCCGAUCCUGCUACUACUUCCUCCUCGUCCUCCAGGCGCAGGACUCCGUGCCGCCGCGCAACGACCUCCCCUCCAACGUACCCGGACCGGCUGCUCCUUCUCCGUCUCCUCUUCCUCUCGGUUACAAGACAACGUCAAGUCGGACACAUCGCAGCUGCCGCAGUUCAGAUAUGAUGUUGGACCAGUUCAGAAGGUGUAGCAGACUGGAAGACAACCGCUGCUGUUUAACUUGUGUAUUUCAGGCUGUGCAAUUGUGUCUUUCGGAGAGUUCUUAAAUGUUGAUUUCGGGGAAGUUCUAUUUGUACAUAUCUGCAGUCCAUUUUUUUGGCACAAAAUAGUUUCGCCACUUUAUUUUUGUAUGUACAUGUUUAUCUUUCUUUUACAGCAUCAAGCGGUUCAACUAUUAACUUUGAGAAGUUUAUUUGAGAUGCAGGUUUGCGCCGCCAUUGACUUCCAGGAGCGCCGUCAUGGACUCUCAGGUACACCUCUACCGGUGAACUUCGCUCACAUCGUUCGUACAUAUGCAAAAUUUCUUCGAGGCCUUUGUGUAUUUGUUUUGUAGUAAUUUAUUUUCGCA